rnacentral:rRNA from 1 species
UACCAGCACCCCGAGUGGUCGGGACGAUUAUUGGGCCUAAAGCCUCCGUAGCCGGUUCUACAAGUCUUCCGUUAAAUCCACCUGCUUAACAGAUGGGCUGCGGAGGAUACUAUAGAGCUAGGAGGCGGGAGAGGCAAGCGGUACUUAGUGGGUAGGGGUAAAAUCCGUUGAUCCAUUGAAGACCACCAGUGGCGAAGGCGGCUUGCCAGAACGCACUCGACGGUGAGGGAUGAAAGCUGGGGGAGCAAACCGG